rnacentral:hammerhead_ribozyme from 1 species
AUCCAGUUGACGAGUCCCAAAUAGGACGAAACACGCGUCACACUGGAU